rnacentral:tRNA from 1 species
UAAAUAAUAGUUUAAUGAAGAAUAGUUGAUUGUUAAUCAACGGGUGAAUUUUUUUUCUUAUUUAG